UUGGUUUAGCCAUCGUUUUCUGAGCAAACUUCGAAAGACAGGCGUGAUAGAACUGGGAUUCGACGAGGACGACGUCGUUCUUGACAUUGGUUGUGGUAGCGGUGUUCCCAGCAAAGAAGUAGCAGCCAUGGUAAAGUAGAAUUACGUUCAUUUUCAAAAGGACUGGGAAAACGAAGCGGAAUUUCUGGAGCUUGUUAGAUCUGCAGGAUUUGAGGUUUGCAAAUCGGCAGCUGAAGAACAUAACCUACACGCCGAGUGUGCUGAUGAGGCGAAAGCUGGAAUGCAAACCACUAUGGGACAGAUCAGUGCUAUUCCGGCCAAUCUUCAAGAUGAGUGCAUGGAAGACGUCCUAAGAUGGUUACAUGACGUCACUAUGAAACAACCUGAGGCAAAAGAGAAACAAACCGCUACGGGAGAAAGUCGGAUUUUGACGUUAGUUGCCCGCCAUACACAAGGGAUGUAGUUGGUUUCAAACCGCCUCGAUCAUGAGAAUCCCCGUUAAAUUACGAAAACUUUUUUAGAGCUAAAAAAUACCCAUUCAUUAUUCCUGCAUUCUCACCGCCCCGAAACAUACCCUUUGGGAUAAGUUCCUGAAGUUACGAGCAUGCGCAGCAUGGUCUGAUAAGCAAGUGAGGCGCGAGAUUCAAAAUCACUAGCUCAGCAGCCGCCCGCGCCCACCUACACGCUAGGCUAAAAGUUCCCGUAAAUUGCUUUCACAUUGCCAAAAUACCUUGGAUAAAUCCCCGCGAAAGUUCUCGUAUUUUGACAAGUACCUACUAUUUAGUGGGUAUUUUCUUUCGGGGAGAUUACGCGUAAUUUUCUUUCACAUUGCCAAUAUUAUUACCUGGUAUUUUUUGAUCGGGGUAAAUUUCCCGAUCAGAAAAUACCUAGAACUGACGAACUUCGAGGCGGUCUGAAACCACCUACACAUGACAAUGGACAAAAAACAGAACGCCCGCCAUUUCGUCCAAUCAACAUUUAAACGUACUUUGAUUUUCAUUUUGCAAACUUUUGCAAGGUUACAACGGAGUGACAUUAACCCCAGUAGUUCGUCCCUUUACCAUGCAUGUUUACCCCUAUACACUUUCAUUACCCUUUUUCUUUUCCAUGUUUCGUUCUUUUUGUAUGUGUUCCGGACCAACCUUUCAUUACUAUCACCAUCGAUAAUGGCACGAAUUAAAACUAUCAUAUUCGAUUUGUGGUCCUGCCGAUUAUAACACACAUUUUGCAUGCAAAUUGAUAUUCAUGUCUUGUGGAUUAGCGUAUCAGACCAUGUAGCAUUCGGACCAGUGGUACCUAAACCUCAUUAUUCAGACGGAAUUGUAGACGAAGUACAACUAGUAGGUAAAAUGGCUUUUGGACUAGAUGCUUACUUGGGCCGUUAGCCCCACCCCCCUCUCGAAAAAAAAAGAAUCACUACUAAGAAAAUAGCUAAGAAAAAAAUAAAGAAAAAAGAAAGGAAACUGGGUGAAGUAUAUUGUCGUUUUCGGAAUAUUUAAUUGUUCAUAUAAAUCCAUUACACAAAUUUUGCCCACAUCCCAAGUCUAGCAGCUUCAUUUUUCUUAUUUUAUUACUAUUAUUUUUUUUUUUAGCUCAUUACGCUUCUGAUCACUAGACAUGAGCUUUGAAAGGGGAUUCCAAUAUUGAGAUUUUUUAUGUGAAAGACGAAAAAUGAAAGUUAGAAAGUAAAUCAGCAAAUGAACUGGACAAUAAGGGAUUAAUGACUGUUUGAAAAAGAGAUCACUCAUUAUAUACAAGAUUUCAAAUAAACAUUUUAGUGAAGUAGACUGUGCCAUGUGAUAUAUGAUUAUCAGGAAUUUUGUAUUUUUCAUGGGCAUCUUUCUUGUCAAAGCGCUCCUCCGGAAAAAAGAUGUUCAAGAAGGUGCAUUUUUCCUUGUAUCAGGGAGUAAUCAAUUCGAAAAAGAAUAAUUGUAUUUUUGUGGUUUCAGCAAACACUACAGAUAAAGGAGCAGUCUCUAUCCUCAACACAA